GCAUAUCAAUAAGCGGAGGAAAAGAAACUAACAAGGAUUCCCUUAGUAACGGCGAGUGAAGAGGGAAGAGCUCAAAUUUUAAAUCUAUCAUGUUUGUACAUGAUCGAGUUGUAAUUUGAAGAAGCGUUUUCUCGUACUUUAUGCAAUCAGUAUAAGUUCUCUUGGAACAGGACAUCAUAGAGGGUGAUAAUCCCGUCUGUUACUGGUUGUGAGGUUCGUUAUGAUACGCUUUCAAAGAGUCGAGUUGUUUGGGAUUGCAGCUCCAAAUGGGUGGUAAACAUCACCUAAGGCUAAAUAUUUGCGAGAGACCGAUAGCGAACAAGUACCGUGAGGGAAAGAUGAAAAGAACUUUGAAAAGAGAGUUAAAAAGUAUGUGAAAUUGUUGAAAGGGAAACGAUUGAAGUCAGUCGUGCAGUCAUCAAUUCAGCGGUUAACAUUUUUAUGUUUCCGUGUAAUUUGGUGUCUGUUGGUUAGCAUCAAUUUUGAUUGUUAUAAAAAGGUUAAGGGGAUGUGGCUCCUUCGGGAGUGUUAUAACCCUUAGCGUAAUGUGACGAUUAGGAUUGAGGUUUGCAACGAAUACCUUUUAGGGCAGUUUCACCUGGCCUCUCGUGGAAUUAUAGAUAGUUAAGAGCAUGCUCUUACUGUCUAUGAUUCUACGAAAAGGUUGGAGUGUAAAACUAAUUCGUUAAGGAUGUUGACGUA
rnacentral:rRNA from 1 species